rnacentral:tRNA from 1 species
AGUUUUAUAGUUUAAAAAAAACAUUAAAUUGCAAAUUUAAAGAUAAUUUAUAUUUAAAACUU